AUUGAACGCUGGCGGCAUGCUUUACACAUGCAAGUCGAACGGUAACAGGCCGCAAGGUGCUGACGAGUGGCGAACGGGUGAGUAAUGCAUCGGAACGUGCCCAGUCGUGGGGGAUAACGCAGCGAAAGCUGCGCUAAUACCGCAUACGAUCUAUGGAUGAAGGCGGGGGACCGUAAGGCCUCGCGCGAUUGGAGCGGCCGAUGUCAGAUUAGGUAGUUGGUGGGGUAAAGGCUCACCAAGCCAACGAUCUGUAGCUGGUCUGAGAGGACGACCAGGCAGACUGGGACGGAGACACGGCCCAGACUCCUACGGGAGGCAGCAGUGGGGAAUUUUGGACAAUGGGGGCAAGCCUGAUCCAGCAAUGCCGCGUGCAGGAAGAAGGCCUUCGGGUUGUAAACUGCUUUUGUGCGGAACGAAAAGACUCUGGUUAAUACCUGGGGUCCAUGACGGUACCGUAAGAAUAAGCACCGGCUAACUACGUGCCAGCCGCCGCCGUAAGAC
rnacentral:rRNA from 1 species